CAAUCGGACACGGAAAUUUUCCGCUACCACUUAUGAACAGUUCGAGAAUACGUAAUGCAAAAGCAUCUACGUACAUAAGGCGGUGGUGUUAACGAGGGACAGAGAAUCAUCGCUAUAAAAGUGGCGAUGAAGAUGUCUAAAGUCUCUGUCACUUUAAAAUGUCGCGCGCCGUUGCAUGUGGAUUUUUUUGGCCGUCUCAGAUUGUGCUCUUAGUACUUGUAUUAAUAUCAUCAUUAUCAUUAAUGACGUUGCGACGAGUGAAUGCAAAUCCGUUGCCGGAUCUCACGCAGGAGUACCAGAAUUUGAUAGCCGAGAGUUCGACGGUCAAUUCGACGGAUAAUUCAACAGAUAAUUCGACGGAAACUGCGGCCAACACUGACGUAUAUGUGAUAAAAGCCGUAGUCUACGAGAUUGGAAUUCUUACAGAUACGGAUAACACAACGACUAGCGAAAGCACCGAAAGACACGAAAGAGUCGAUAUAUCACUGUACGAUCCACCGCAUCAAAAAGAUGAAUUCUCCUAAUCGUAAUGAAUAUUUUUAUCUCGAAGCGAAUAUAGUAGUUACAAAAUUACGCACUUGAGACGCAUUUAUGGAGAUCGGAAGCGAGAAUCAAAAUGACAAAUCACUUUACUGUAAAAAUUGCGUAUAUGGAACGACGAUAUUUUCAGUAGAUGUAUGUACAUAGUAAAUUACUGAUUAUGUAUUGUAUAAGAUUGCAACGUAAAGAUAUAUAAAAUGCAAAGUGUAACAAUAUAAUGUGCAUGCAAUUUAUAAAGACUUCGAUCUUUCAAAUUUAUAUAAUGCUGUGAGACGAGCGCUUUGGGAUUUAGAAUAAACGUUUUAUUAUUUUAUCAUU